rnacentral:rRNA from 1 species
CACGUAGGCGGUUUGUUAAGUUGGAUGUGAAAGCCCAGGGCUCAACCUUGGAAUUGCAUCCGAUACUGGCAGGCUAGAGUACAGUAGAGGGAGGUGGAAUUUCCGGUGUAGCGGUGAAAUGCGUAGAGAUCGGAAGGAACACCAGUGGCGAAGGCGGCCUCCUGGACUGAUACUGACGCUGAGGUGCGAAAGCGUGGGGAGCAAACA